rnacentral:rRNA from 1 species
AGAAUUCUAAGGUGAGCGAGCGAACUCUCGUUAAGGAACUCGGCAAAAUGACCCCGUAACUUCGGGAGAAGGGGUGCUCUUUGAGGUUCACGCUUCGAAGAGCCGCAGUGAAUAGGCCCAAGCGACUGUUUAUCAAAAACACAGGUCUCUGCUAAACCGUAAGGUGACGUAUAGGGGCUGACGCCUGCCCGGUGCUGGAAGGUUAAGAGGAGUGGUUAGCGCAAGCGAAGCUACGAAUCGAAGCCCCAGUAAACGGCGGCCGUAACUAUAACGGUCCUAAGGUAGCGAAAUUCCUUGUCGGGUAAGUUCCGACCCGCACGAAAGGCGUAACGAUUUGGGCACUGUCUCAACGAGAGACUCGGUGAAAUCAUAGUACCGGUGAAGAUGCCGGUUACCCGCGACAGGACGGAAAGACCCCGUGGAGCUUUACUGUAGCCUGAUAUUGAAAUUCGGUACAGUUUGUACAGGAUAGGUAGGAGCCUUAGAAGCGUGAGCGCUAGCUUACGUGGAGGCAUUGGUGGGAUACUACCCUAAUUGUAUUGGAUUUCUAACCCGCAGCACUUAUCGUGCUGGGAGACAGUGUCAGGCGGGCAGUUUGACUGGGGCGGUCGCCUCCUAAAGAGUAACGGAGGCGCUCAAAGGUUCCCUCAGAAUGGUUGGAAAUCAUUCAUAGAGUGUAAAGGCAUAAGGGAGCUUGACUGCGAGACCUACAAGUCGAGCAGGGUCGAAAGACGGACUUAGUGAUCCGGUGGUUCCGCAUGGAAGGGCCAUCGCUCAACGGAUAAAAGCUACCCCGGGGAUAACAGGCUUAUCUCCCCCAAGAGUUCACAUCGACGGGGAGGUUUGGCACCUCGAUGUCGGCUCAUCGCAUCCUGGGGCUGUAGUCGGUCCCAAGGGUUGGGCUGUUCGCCCAUUAAAGCGGUACGCGAGCUGGGUUCAGAACGUCGUGAGACAGUUCGGUCCCUAUCCGUCGUGGGCGUAGGAAAUUUGAGAGGAGCUGUCCUUAGUACGAGAGGACCGGGAUGGACAUACCUCUGGUGUACCAGUUGUCGUGCCAACGGCAUAGCUGGGUAGCUAUGUAUGGACGGGAUAAGUGCUGAAAGCAUCUAAGCAUGAAGCCCCCCUCGAGAUGAGAUUUCCCAACUUCGGUUAUAAGAUCCCUCAAAGAUGAUGAGGUGAAUAGGUUCGAGGUGGAAGCGUAGCGAUACGUGGAGCUGACGAAUACUAAUCGAUCGAAGACUUAAUCAA